rnacentral:rRNA from 1 species
CCUACGGGAGGCUGCAGUGGGGAAUAUUGGGCAAUGGGCGCAAGCCUGACCCAGCAACGCCGCGUGAAGGAAGAAGGCUUUCGGGUUGUAAACUUCUUUUGACAGGGAAGAGCAGAAGACGGUACCUGUCGAAUACGCCACGGCUAACUACGUGCCAGCAGCCGCGGUAAUACGUAGGUGGCAAGCGUUGUCCGGAUUUACUGGGGGUAAAGGGCGUGUAGCCGGGGUGACAAGUCAGAUGUGAAAUCCGGGGGCUCAACCCCCGAACUGCAUUUGAAACUGUUGGUCUUGAGUAUCGGAGAGGCAGGCGGAAUUCCUAGUGUAGCGGUGAAAUGCGUAGAUAUUAGGAGGAACACCAGUGGCGAAGGCGGCCUGCUGGACGAAAACUGACGGUGAGGCGCGAAAGCGUGGGGAGCAAACAGGAUUAGAUACCCGAGUAGUC